rnacentral:rRNA from 1 species
ACGCUUCUUUCCUCCCGAGUGCUUGCACUCAAUUGGAAAGAGGAGUGGCGGACGGGUGAGUAACACGUGGGUAACCUACCCAUCAGAGGGGGAUAACACUUGGAAACAGGUGCUAAUACCGCAUAACAGUUUAUGCCGCAUGGCAUAAGAGUGAAAGGCGCUUUCGGGUGUCGCUGAUGGAUGGACCCGCGGUGCAUUAGCUAGUUGGUGAGGUAACGGCUCACCAAGGCCNCGAUGCAUAGCCGACCUGAGAGGGUGAUCGGCCACACUGGGACUGAGACACGGCCCAGACUCCUACGGGAGGCAGCAGUAGGGAAUCUUCGGCAAUGGACGAAAGUCUGACCGAGCAACGCCGCGUGAGUGAAGAAGGUUUUCGGAUCGUAAAACUCUGUUGUUAGAGAAGAACAAGGACGUUAGUAACUGAACGUCCCCUGACGGUAUCUAACCAGAAAGCCACGGCUAACUACGUGC